GGGAAUAUUGGUCAAUGGAGGAAACUCUGAACCAGCAACGCCGCGUGAAUGAUGAAGGUCUUCGGAUUGUAAAGUUCUUUUCUAAGGGAAGAAGAUAGUGACGGUACCUUAGGAAUAAGCCUCGGCUAACUACGUGCCAGCAGCCGCGGUAAUACGUAGGAGGCAAGCGUUAUCCGGAAUGACUGGGCGUAAAGGGUGCGUAGGUGGUUUGGCAAGUUAGUAGCGUAACCCCGGGGCUCAACCUCGGAACUACUACUAAAACUGUCGGACUUGAGUGCAGGAGGGGCAAUUGGAAUUCCUAGUGUAGCGGUGGAAUGCGUAGAUAUUAGGAGGAACACCAGUGGCGAAGGCGAAUUGCUGGACUGUAACUGACACUGAGGCACGAAAGCGUGGGGAGCAAACAGG
rnacentral:rRNA from 1 species